AUUGAACGCUGGCGGCAGGCUUAACACAUGCAAGUCGAGCGGGGUGAUGUGCUUCGGUACUGAUCCUAGCGGCGGACGGGUGAGUAAUGCUUAGGAAUCUGCCAUUUAGUGGGGGACAACAUUCCGAAAGGAAUGCUAAUACCGCAUACGUCCUACGGGAGAAAGCAGGGGAUCUUCGGACCUUGCGCUAAAUGAUGAGCCUAAGUCGGAUUAGCUAGUUGGUGGGGUGAAGGCCUACCAAGGCGACGAUCUGUAGCGGGUCUGAGAGGAUGAUCCGCCACACUGGGACUGAGACACGGCCCAGACUCCUACGGGAGGCAGCAGUGGGGAAUAUUGGACAAUGGGCGGAAGCCUGAUCCAGCCAUGCCGCGUGUGUGAAGAAGGCCUUUUGGUUGUAAAGCACUUUAAGCGAGGAGGAGGCUACCUGGAUUAAUACUCUGGGAUAGUGGACGUUACUCGCAGAAUAAGCACCGGCUAACUCUGUGCCAGCCGCCGCAGUAAUAC
rnacentral:rRNA from 1 species